CAACAAGCGGCCACCGCCCCCACCCCGGGGCGGGCAGAAGCGCAGCAACCCCGCGGUGCUCCCGGAAGACACCGCGUCUCCAACAUUUACACGGAGAUGCUGCUCGGCUCAGGUCGGGUCCGUACGCUUCCCGAGGUUCCGACCUGAAUCUGAAAGUGCUUCUAAACCCCAUGCUUCACAGAACGUUCGGAGGGGGAGGCGCUCCGUGGGGGCUGCUGCGUGCCCAUGUAGCCGAACUGACUCGAAUAAAAGCGUGUCCACGUCUACAUCACACAUCUGUGUAAAUGCAGAAGCCUGCGGAUGCGCGGGGCUGGCCAGACUUCACAGUGUGCAGACACAUGGGCUCAUGCACGCGCACGCGCGCGCUCACACACACACCCCAAAUUACCUCCGGGAUGGAGAAAGCCGCUGCGGAUUGGCCAGCAGAGCCGUCACUCACGCCCAGGGGGCAGGGAGACUUCGCAAAGCUGUUUCCUUUUUUUUUUUUCCUCCUCUCCUCCCUACCGUUUCAUUUAAUGGUAAAACAACAGCAGAGCUCUGAAAGUUAGCCAUCUGCGCAGAGUUUGCCUUCUUUAAGGAGGGAGGCGUCAGACGAUAUCCAUUUAAAUAUAUUUUGUACUUCCACAAAGGAUGGAAAGGGAAAUUCACGAAGGGAGUGGAGGCGGAAAGGGAGCUCCGAGAAAGAAGGAGGGGUCAUUCCGCGGGGGGCGGGGGGGGGGGCGGGGGCCGACGCAGGGGAAAGAGUUGCUCUCUACACCGAAAAGGGACUUUGACCUUCCAUUGAUCUCGAAAUUCAAAAACGUUUCUUCACAGGUCAGAUUGUAACAAACACUCGUUCCUAAUUUAUGAACUCGCCGUUUUGAUUUUAUUAUUUAAGCAUGCGCCAGCAAUCGUGUUUCCUUAAGAAAGAACUGACCUAUUUUUGGCUGGAGAUAAACGAUCAUGUUAACAGAUGUUAAUCUUGUAAUCUGUUUUUCCUGUAAGCACUUUACCUAGCCGGGUUUCAGACCUUAAAAAUAACAUCUUUUCCAAAAAGACCUGACGUCACAAUUCACUCCCUGAAAAAUCACACUCCCCCUCCAGUUUCUUCCCCUGCAAUGAUUUCAAAGACAUUAAAUCUUUUCCACUUUAUAAAUGCUGAUCUGUUCUGCCUCUACUCCCACAGGCUCUUAUUUGCAUUUCAAAUUCCACAGGUUACACCAGUCGCCUUUUCAAAAAAUGUAAACCAACAAUGCAGCAGCAAAUGGCUUUUUGUGCAUCUGGAUUAAAUAAAGCACAGAAUGAAUAUAUUUAAAA
rnacentral:lncRNA from 1 species